rnacentral:rRNA from 1 species
GUGAGGAAUUUUCCGCAAUGGGCGAAAGCCUGACGGAGCAAUGCCGCGUGAAGGAUGAAGGCCUAUGGGUUGUAAACUUCUUUUCUCAGAAAAGAAUUAUGACGGUAUCUGAGGAAUAAGCAUCGGCUAACUCUGUGCCAGCAGCCGCGGUAAGACAGAGGAUGCAAGCGUUAUCCGGAAUGAUUGGGCGUAAAGCGUCUGUAGGUUGUUUAAAAAGUAUUCUGUCAAAGAUUAGGGCUUAACCCUAGAUAGGCAGAAUAAACUUUUAAGCUGGAGUGUGGUGGAGGCAGAGGGAAUUCCCGGUGGAGCGGUGAAAUUCGUAGAUAUCGGGAGGAACACCAAAGGCGAAGGCACUCUGCUGGGCCAAUACUAACACUGAGAGACGAAAGCGAGGGGAGCAAAUGGGAUUAGAUACCCGGGUAGUCC